UUUCCGUAGGUGAACCUGCGGAAGGAUCAUUGUCACACAUCCUAAUGGAUGCUUGUGCCAACAAGCAGACCCAGCGAACCAUUCUCCUAUCACUUGAGGGGCUGCAUCGCGAGGUGCAGCUGUCGGCGGUCGGGCCCUUGCUUCAGGGGCCGGAGUCCUUGCUGGGUUCACCGUUGCGGGUGAGCACCGGCCGUCCGACGAGGGCCGCUCUUGGGCCUCGCGCACGGGAGAGUGCGGGGGCGGCGUUUCCCACUCCAGCGGUCCCAUCCGGGACAGCUGCGCAACCAGCCAAAACACUAGGCAAAAACCGACUGAAGAACGAUCCUUUGCGGGGCGCCAUCGGGAGCCCUGCCUCGGAUCAAAAGCAAACUAAAGACAACUCUCAACAACGGAUAUCUUGGCUCUC
rnacentral:misc_RNA from 1 species